AUUCAGGCUGUUUCUUGCCACCUCUUUGGUUUAAUGGAGCUCCAUGUUUUCUUCUGAUUUGGGCCACUGCUCCUUAAUCACAUUUGGUGUUCUGCAAGUGGACUGGACGCUGACAGUGAACGUUGGAAUUGCCUAGAGGAACUAUUUCUAAACAGAACCCACAGGAGAGCACAGUCCUUGGAAAUGGAGUUGAGAAUGGUUGUGAACCACCACGUGUGUGCUGGGCACUAAUUCUAUGUCUUCUGCAAGAACAACUGAUCCUCUUAACCACAGAGCCAUUCCUCUGUCCCUGAAACUAUGUGUUCUAGCAUGAUAUAUUUUUUCAUCUUGUUAAUAAAUGUCAUGGUUUCACAUUGUUUA